rnacentral:rRNA from 1 species
GGGCCCGCACAAGCAGCGGAGCGUGUGGUUUAAUUCGAUGCAACACGAAGAACCUUACCAGGGCUUGACAUGCUGGAAGUAGGAACCCGAAAGGGAGACGACCUGUUAAGUCAGGAACCUGCACAGGUGCUGCAUGGCUGUCGUCAGCUCGUGCCGUGAGGUGUUAGGUUAAGUCCUGCAACGAGCGCAACCCUUGUUGCUAGUUGUUUUCUCUAGCGAGACUGCCUCGAAAACGAGGAGGAAGGUAGGGAUGACGUCAAGUCAGCAUGGCCCUUACGCCCUGGGCGACACACACGCUACAAUGGGUGGUACAGUGGGCGGCAAAAGAGUGAUCUGGAGCUAAUCCCCAAAACCAUCCUCAGUUCAGAUUGCAGGCUGAAACUCGCCUGCAUGAAGCCGGAGUUGCUAGUAAACGCGUAUCAGCAUGGCGCGUUGAAUACGUUCUCGGGCCUU